GUUAAAAACACGCAGAAGGGCAACGUUCUUGUGUUGCACAGUGCGGUUCAGUGCUGCACGGUUACAAUUCCCGGAGAAGGAAUCUCUUUUUUAUUGAUUUAAAUUCAACAUCUUCCAUUUGUGCCACAAGAAAUAAGGAUGCAAGUGCACGGUGCAACAAAUUACAUAUGUCAACCUUUUUAUUCUUGGCAAUACUUAAAGAUGUGAACCUCGACUAAUGUACGAAGACAGUGUUGACUUUGUGGAACAGUUUACUGCAGCCUGUUUACGGUCUUACUACUUACUACCACCACAGUUCUUUGGUAUUACUUUGGAGGGAUUAUCCACUUUUCCUCCUCCGCUGUGAUCUAUUAAUGUGACUGUGUGUGGUAAACACUCCCCCGAUCUCUGCAGCGUUAGCCUCUGUGAAGACAGCUGUCAGCGGGCUGCAGGAAGGUUAAGAUGUAAACAGGGCAGGAAACCUUGGGAAUGCAGUUGUGUUAAAGAUUUAUUGUUUGUGGUAAACUGACUUAUGCAAUGGGACAACAACGACGGAUAUACCUAAUAUACUUGGAUGGAUUUAUUCCCUCAUGUACAAAUGAGCCAUGAUACCUUCCCGACAUGGACACAAUGUUCCCAAUUUCAGGUUUAGUCUCUUUUCAUUAUGUGCCGUCGGCUGGAAGACCACAGAAGCACAUAUAAACAGAACACAGAUUAUUAUAAUAGCCGUCAUGCUGUGAAUGUCCUAUUUAUAUUUAGAAUUGGGAACACCUUCCUCUGUUGUGACUUGUAUGGAAAGAAGAAACCCGAACACGUGAAAGACGUACAGACAAGUUCAUACAAACCAGCACAGUAGUUGUUACAUGUACCCUAAUCAAAUAUUUAAACAUUUACUCUUAAAACUUGUUCUAGUUCAUUUUCACAGAAAUACUGAGCGAGUUGCAAACAGUCAGCAUGAACUCACGCCACCAAAACACAGCAAAAGGAAAACGCGUUGACGUCCCAAAAGUAAACUUACUAUGUAACUUGCAACAGUUGAUGGGAUUACGUUGUUCAAACGGUACUGGAUGAGAAAAAACACAAAUCUUUAAACAGAACAAUUGAAAAUGUACUUACAACCACAAUUAUACUAUAGAACUACUUGUGUUUCCACUACUGAAAGGACUCUCUACUAGUAUAAUACCAUAACAUGAACACAUCAUUAAAUCACAUAAUUACACGUUAGGUACGUGACGGUCUGAUGUAUCAUCCGAGUUCCAACGUGAUCUCCAAAACCUGUUGGUAAAAAUGUGUACAAAAAUCUUGAACAUACAAAUUUGUAGUGUUACAUACGAACUGCGGGGGUUAACAACAUGGCGGACCAUGUUGGAUUCUUGAGUGAACGUCUCUCCGCCAUGUUGGAUUUUUGGAGGGGGUUAGGGUUUUGGAGAUCAGUCUCCCGAGUUCACACCUUGCUUGCCCUGCUUCUACAACGGGAGGCCUCCCGCUUCGAGUUCCGCUUGGACGGCAGAACAUUGUGUUCUCUGAUGCUUUAUUGCCUUGCCGCGGCUUUUCCGGGGUUGUGAACUUAAUGAGGGGUUUCUUUACAACCGCUCAACCCGUCCCCAGCUGCGUGGAGCCG
ensembl:lncRNA